rnacentral:rRNA from 1 species
GACGUAGGGUGCGAGCGUUGUCCGGAUUUAUUGGGCGUAAAGAGCUCGUAGGCGGCUUGUCACGUCGACUGUGAAAACCCGGGGCUCAACUCCGGGCCUGCAGUCGAUACGGGCUGGCUUGAGUGCGGUAGGGGAGACUGGAAUUCCUGGUGUAGCGGUGAAAUGCGCAGAUAUCAGGAGGAACACCGGUGGCGAAGGCGGCAUCCUGGACCGGCAUUGACGCUGAGGAGCGAAAGCCAGGGGAGCAAACGGG